UGGCUCCUCCACGGAGGAGAGGCUCUUCCUAUGAUGCUCCUUGCUGUGGCUACUGCCCCUCGUCCUCCUGCCCUGGGAGCUCAGCCCUGGGCAUGUGGCACCUUCCUGCCAGACCCUCUGGAACACCAGGCCUGGUCCUUUGGCAGAGCCCAGACGUGAUUCCCCUUUGACACACUGGCUCCAGAGCUCCUCAGUGGGGAGGAGGGAAGAGCUUUUGGAGCAGAUGGAGACAUAUGGAGCCCCUGUCUGACACUGGCGUGUGGAGCACUGACACGAGGAGCAGCUCAGCUCCUAACCCCCCACGGCCACGUGUGCAGCUGGGAGCCUGCCUCAGGGGUUCCCUGGUGGGAACUCCACUGGCAGUGGGGUUUCCUGAAAAGAAAGAAAAAUCAGAUGCAAGCUGAAUUUUCACUGUACUGCGUCACACAGAUCCAUCCAGUCCCACCUCAGUGCUGUCCCUGUUGGAGGCUGCUGAGCAAGGAUUACAGAACAUGUGUCUUGCAUUGACUUCGUUGCCUCAGAGGCUGUGUUUUGGCUUCAGUCACCUCUGCUUCCUCUCCCCUUCCUUCCCCACCCCCUUCAAAAAGAAAACCAGCAAUGCUGGAGGAGAAAUUCUGGCUGCACUGGGCAACAAGGGGAGAGGAUGGCACUUGGAGGAGAGACUUGGAGGUCUUUGCCAGAGAUGUCAGAGCAGUUUUGCCCUGCUGCCCCCCUGGUGGAGGGCCUGCUGAGCCUGGUGUCACACACAGAACCCCCCUGGAGUUAGUGUAACAGCCUUUGGGGCCGUUUGUCCUUCUGACCUUCACAGCACCCUGUGGCAUUGUGUCCCACAACUUAAUUCCAUGUGAGUGAAAGGAGUGCUUCCUGUUUGCUUUCCAAAUUGCCUGAAAGCCCCCGUGGCUCAUCCGUCAUCCCGGUGCCACAGGAAGGUGAGUGAUGGCCCCUGCUUUGGCUUGUCCACACUGCAGUGAGCUCACAGACUCCUGUCACCUGCCCCUGUUCAGGCUGGAGCUGCUGGGGUGUGUUUGACCCCAUAGGUGGGAGCAGGUGGGUGUUGACAUCACCCCAGACACUCAGCCCUGGACCCUUUCCAGCCCUGUGGAGCCUUUGCUGAGGUGAGCACGUGCUGCAAGUGUUUCCUCCUUUUGCUGAAUCAAGACCACAAAAGUGCUGCUGCACAUGCCCAGGUGAGUGUUUUGGAGUCUGAAAGCAGGGUGGGAUGUUUCUGAUGGCAUUCCCCACCCUUGUGGGGAGCAGGAGGAGGUGAUGGGAGUUGUGCUGUGGCUGUGACUGCACUGAGGUUUCAGCCUUCCCCUGGGAGUGGGGAGAUGGAUCAAAGUGACUCACUGGUUUGUGCACUUCGUGUCCCAGCUUCAAAACCCUUCGUGUUGCCUGGGGGAUGUUAUUCAUUUUUGUACCCAACCUCUGCAGUUUGGAUUCAAGAACACUGAAGAGACAUUUCAGGCUGUUUCAAGUGAGGUGCCCUCAUUUCUGGAUAACAGCACUUUCAAAGUAAUCCCUGGAUCUGGGUUUCCCUCGUGUGUGUUGUCUAGUGUGGGUCUAGAGUGUCUGUCGCUCUACAAGUGCACCUGAAGCACUUCUCUGGCCCUCAAGUAGUGCUCUCUCAUUUGUAGCCUCAGGUAGCAGCAUGAGCAUCUCUUGGUUGUGUCGCAUUCCCCUGCUGAGCUCUGCCUGGCACAGCUGCCCCACAAUGGCCCAGCAUCGCUGCUGGUGCGUCCUGCUGCCUCCAGCCUCCUGUUCUCCCUCAGCUUUCCUGUCCCUGGUGUGGAGGGGAUGCUCAAGAGGGAUGCCAGGGAACCCGGUCCUUCCUUGGGAGACACUUGUUCACCACUGGAAAGGUUGUUUUAUCGGAGCAGGAAAGAAAUGUUUGGCUGCCUUGUCGAGGCCGUAGCUCUGAUUCUCCUGCUGUGUCUCUGCUGCCCGGGCAGGUGAUGUGGCUGCACUUCUGGGGCACAAACCAGUGUGUCUCGUGCAGGUGUGGGGCAAGGGAUGGCAGCAUUGAAGCACUGCAGGUGCCCAGCCCUGCCCCCAGGCGCUGAGGCCACAAGGACACCACAAAUCACAAGGAAAGAGUCUUGGUUUGGGUGGGUUUGUAUCUGCCCUGUCCCCUCCUCGCAGCCCCAGGUCCCAUCCCUUCCCCGGGAGACCACUGGUGCCGAUGUCAAGCAUGAAAGGAGGCAGGAGCGAGGGAGAGCAGCAGAUGGCACUCGAGCACCAGCCCAGCUCUGCAGUGCGAGCGCUGGGAUCGCUUUGGGCUGAGCCGGGCGAGGGGAGCGCGGCCGCUCGGGCUCCAGUCCUUGGAGGGAGAUGGGUCAUCUUGGGCUAUAAGCUGCAUCUAUAGAAUCUUGAUUUACAUGCUUGGGAUGUUCCUCUCUGCUCAUGGGUCCAGAUUGUAUCUCUGCUCGUGCAGGUUUGUCCUUACACAGUGUCUGGACGUGAGAUGAUAAAGGGAAAGUGUUACUUUUCACUCGCAGAGACCGACCCCUGAUUUGCUUGGAUAUUUUCUGGGAUUGUGGUGUGCAUUUUCCCCAGAGCAUUGAAACAAGAUUUUUCUUUUUCUUGAAUCAGAUCAUUUCCUCCCCCGCAGCCAAAAUGAAGUGAGCUCAUUGUGCUCCCACUGAAAAGAGACUUGGUGUGGAGAUGGAAAAGCAAAGUUCAGUGUGUUUGUUACAGAGACAACAGCUGGACACGUAUGAAUGAGUCAGGGAAAAAUGGUCCUGUUGAGGUGGUCAUGGGGUGUGCUGGGCAUGCAGAGAGAUCCCCUGGAUGAGGAGCUUUGGCUCCUCUCAUCUCACAGGGGACGGUCCCCUCGGUGUCCCAGCGCUGCUGCUGCUCCUUGCAGGGCUGUUUGCAGGGACAGCUGAGCUUCCAAGCAUACAAGCCCUGACCCCGGAUUCAGACCAUGCUCAUUCUCCUCUGGACCCCUGGGAGACUUCCCCGUGGCAGCUGAGGUGGGACAAGCCCCCUGAGGUGCCACAGCCUGUGUCAGGCUCUGCUCACCCGGGUUUUGCCCUUGAACAAGACAAGACAUCUGGGCUGGGUUUGCCCAGGAAUGGGGUGGAAGCACUUGCACGGUGUCUGCUGAGCACCCUUGCCCCUGGCUGUGUGUGCUGGACUCUCCUGUUGUUGAGAAUGGGGAGAAAAAAACCACUUGUGAGUGCCCAGCUCUCUCAUCUGUGAGACCCAUACAAAUCCAUGGAUUUUUGUCAGCAGCUUGACCUCUCGGGCACAGUUCUGGCUCUGCAGCAAAGAGCUGCCCACGUUCUUCCUCUUGCCUGACUCUUCUGUAAUGGAAGGGCUAAAUGCUUAUUACUUUUUUGUAGCCUUUUCCAGUUGCCAAUCAAACAUGUCUGGUUUGGGGUUUGUUUUGUUUCUGUGUUGCUGGGACGUUGCAGGAUGCUCUAUCUCACUGUAAUUAUGGUUCCAUCAUUGUCUUGGCACGAUAACAUCUGCUGUCCCUGUGAUCUCCCCUUCCCACUUCUAUUUCUUUUGAGAAUUUCAUGGAUCCUGAUGACCUUCUAUUUUCCAUAACAUCUCAUGCAUCUCAGUGUACACAGCUGUUUCUCUUGCAGUCCCCUGUCUUUCCAUUUACCUCUUUUUUCCUAUCAGCAUCUCCAAUGCAUCCCAAAUUUCGGCUCAUCUGGUUAUCAAACCAAUAUCUCACUGGCUGUCACCUCUGUGAACACGGGACCUUUGCCCCUUGCCUGUCCUCUGAGCACAGUGCACCCUCAGCUCCAUCUAAAGGCUUUGCUCCUCUCAUUUCACACUUGAAAGUCUAUUUUCUCAGGCUUUUUAUCUGGAGUGUGCUGUACUCUUUGGCUGCCUGGGUCUGAGGUGCGUCGGUGCCGCAGCUCCUCCUGAUGUGCCGUGGGGUGGGUGUGUGGAGGGAUGGAGGGAGGUCGUUGUCCCUCAAGGUGAAGUCACUGCUCGUGACAAACUGCAGCCAAGCUGGAGCAUGGCAAGGAGAGAAGCUGUGCUGGGUGUGGGGCUGAGGUGGUGAAAAGGCUGGAGAAAUAUGGGCUCAACUGCUGGUUCUGUGUGACCUUGUUAAAGAGCGUGAGGUCCAUGAGUGUGAUGAACGGAGGUACUUCAGGUUUUAUUCCAUUCUGGCACCUCUUAUUACUAGGACUUUACCAGUAUGCCUAUCCUCUUAAAAAUAUUAAUUAAAAAAUCAGUCCUAUAGCUGCUGCAGAUGGACUAAUAAAACUCUGGGAUGUGACAGGACCUUAAAUCUCUGCUUUGUCCCCUGUCUGUAAAGCAUGCAUCCCAGUUCUCCACCUCCCAUGCCCAUGUGUGACCCUGGCUCUGCCCCUCUGUGCAUCUCCAGGCCCAGCCUGGCCCAGGGCACUUGAUGAUGCUGCAGCAAAACUAAUCCUGAGACUAUUAAAGGCAUGUGGAUUUUUGUCAUUUCAGUUCCCUCAGCUCACGGUCUGUGUAGAUCUGAGCUGGGACUGUCCUGUUCUUGAGGGGCUUUGCAGAAGUUUGGCACCCAGAAGGUGAGACAGAGAAGGAGGGAGCAGGUAGGGAGCUGGUGGAGAUUAAGGAAUAACUUUGUAGAUGGAUGGAAAUCACACCGUGUUUGCAUCAUCGCUUUUCCUCUUUCCGGAGUGUGUUUAUGCAGAGAUGGGUUUUACACAGAUCUGCAUUGCAUGUGGGUGCUUGUACCUAAGUAGGGCUGUGAAACCAUGGAUUAGGGGUUCUAGUCAUCCAAAGGGAGUUCUGUGGCUGUCGGGGUGGAUGAGGACUACCUGAUUUGGGAGGAGAGAUGCCCCUGUGAGAUGUGAGGCAGUGGGUUUGGUGAGGAUUCAGCUCUGUGUCCUCACCCAGGCAGAGCUGUGGGAGCAGACCUGGGUGUGGGGGCACCUUCCACUGGGCUUUUGUCCCUGGAAAGGGAGGAAGGCACAGGAAAGCACAGCAAGCCCUGGCUCCAAAACAGGGGCUCAGGUGUUGGGCCAAGUGUGGAUCUGGAAUGGGCCAAACCCAAUGGGAAUCACAUAGGGAAUAAGCAUUAUAGGGAAUAAUCUCUAUCACUUAAUGCUUCAAUGACUCUGGAAUAAUUGGCUGUUUCCUGGGCAUAUCCAGAUGAGCUGAAGUGUUCUCCCUGUUGCCUUUUGUACAGCAGUGAUUUUUCAGAGACCUGACUGCCCACCUCUCCCUUUACCUCCUGGGUCCCCCUCCCUCAAAUUUCUCCCGGAGUUUGUAUUUUUCCCCCAACAAUGUCUCUGAAGAAUCACAAACGUGUAACACGUGUCCCAGCGCUUGGAUUUUAAUAACGUGCAGCAACCCCCAUCAGCACAGGCAAUUUCACAUUCAGCACAUUAUUGCUAUUUAAAGCGCCGAGGUAUAAAAAUGAUUGGCAAUCCGGCUCUGCCAGCGCCGCCGCCGCCAGGUUGGGAUUUUUAAUGUUGGUUGCUCUGCGCAGUCGUUCCCUCACCUUUGACUUGCAGAUUUCCCAGCGUCAAAAUAGCAGAAUCAUUUUGGGUUGUAACAGGCACUUUGCUUGCUGCUGAAAAGAGGUAAUUAUCAUUAAAUGUGCGGGGGCUGGCUGUACACAGACACACCCGCACGGCCGCGGCUGCUCCUGGUCCCAGCCCAGCCUUUCCCUGGCUUUGCAAAUACAUUUUACCUGAGCUGCUGGGUUUUGGGGACGUGGGGGCAGCGGGCAGGUGGGGUAUUAUGUUGUCUCUCUGUAAUGGUUAUGGAGGAGGGAGGCCAGCAGGGUUUGUCCCAGAGAUGCUGCUCCACAAGGGCUGGUGGUUCCCGUGUUCCUGGGGCUGUGACAGGGAUGUCACCGGGGCCCAGAGGGGUUGGCUGGGCCAGGGCUGUUUACAGGAACGUGUUGCUCUGGGUUAAUGUACAGUAUGAUUAAAGAUGAGACCUUUGUGGAUUUCUGUUUAAGGCCACCUCACCCUGCUUACCUUAAAGUAUGAGGUGAACCAGAAAACAGCCUUUCUUAUGUGAAGACAAGACUUUGUCUUCACUGGGAUAAUGGCCCUAGAGUUUUUUGUAUGUGCCAUACAAAAUCUAGUGAAUACAAGGUAGGUGGGUAGUUUCUGUCCUGAGGUUGCUUUCUGAGGUCCUUACUCCACACCCUGUGGCACAAGCUUCAGCACCUUCUGGGCUGGGAAAGGGGGAAUCUUUUGGGUGAUCUUGGAGAAACCUCUCGUGCAGAUGUGGAGUGUGGAAAGCCCUGGGAAAAGGCUGGAGCCAGGGAGCUGAUGGCAGCACUUUGUCACUGUAUUUACACUUGCACUGGCCCAACGUGAAGCGUUUGGCUCUCCUCCACUUGCGGAAGGGAUUAGCUACUUCAUAACAUCCAGACAAGAUAAUCUCUCCAAUUUUGCCUGGAAGAAGUCCCUGACAAAGAGCAGCAAAGCUACAAUAAUGCCAGAUGAAACAAACAACAAAACACUGUCCCUGGGUUGAUUCAGACCAGCAGAGUUACAUCUGUGGUGAACCUCAGUGGCACAAGGAGGUGAGAAAAGAGGGGAAGGGGAGUGACUGGGAAAAGUUACACAUGGCAUAAGUAACAGGACAUGUUCCAUCUGCACUGGAGCAAAGCUGCAAAAUCGGGCAAGCAAUGAUGCCUACAGGAGGCAUUUGCCAGUACCACAUUAUCCCAAUAAUAUUUUAAGGGUGACAUAAGAGGGUGCUGUCAAUCCUGGCCUCCACACAAAACACAUCAUCCUUAUUUCCUUUCUCUGCUCACUAAGCAAUAGCCAUGUAUAUUUUUUAAUGGGUUGUCCUUUGGAUUCUUUUUCUUUGUCAUCCAGUUUCAAAGCUCUAAAGGUCACAUUUUUCAAGUUCUUUCCUUGGAGUAUCAAAGACUAUACAUCUACUUUAAACAAAAACUAAAAACCCAGCAAUUUUAGAAAACCACUUCACAGAGAGGGACUUGGGAAAGCUCUAAACAUCAUCACGAAAGCUCAGUGCUCCCAGCUCAGCUUUAAGAGCAGUUUGAUUUUGCUUAACUAUAACCAGUUCAUAAGUGUAUUUACACUUAGAAAUUGCACAUUUGUAGUUGUGCCUGUUCAUAGACAAGUUUUGAAAAACAAGUGUUAAAUGCCCAGUUCUUGUUUCAGUCAGUAAAAUGUUUGGUUCUGGCUCACCCCAGCUCCAGGUUCUGCACCACUCCAGCAUCCCACUGGACCACAAACCCUCGGGGUGGGAUGGGGGCUGUCACCUCAGUCUGUUGUGUUCAGACUGAGCUCAGGCAGGCACUGAUGCCAGUUUAGCCUCCUCUGUGCCCCCUCCAGGAGAACACAUGAUGCCCAAUGUGGCAAUGGGUUAGAGGGGAGAGAGGUGAUGCCCGACCCAGCCGAGAGUUUUCGGUACGGAUUAACCCAUCAGUGUGAUUUGAAUGAGGGUGGAGUGGCAGAGUGAGUUCAUCACAGUGCAGAGCUCCACAGGGCAUGGCAGCACCUCGUCCUGCAGGAGCUGGAGCCUGGCAGGCAGGCUUGCUGGGCCACCAGCUGGGCUCACACAGGUCUCAUACGUGUUUCAGUGUGAACAUCAACCACCAUGUGGCAGGUGGGUGAUGCUGGAAGGGAAAUGAAGGACCCAAAGAUCUGGAUCCUAGAAGGGGCAAGGGGAGCAUUGUUAUAGAUCUUGUCACCCAGAAUCUCUUUCAGAACUCUCUCUCCUAACCAAGCCUGUUCUAAUUAUUUGCAUAGCUUGAUCUUGACAUCAGUGGAAACUCCAGCUGAACUUUGGCCAAGAAGGGACGGGUAUGUCAGGGCCAGUUGCUUAAUUAUGUUUACAUCUAAAUUGCUGCAGUAGAUCUUCACUUCCUCGAAAGUGAUUUUCCUUCUGCUCUUUAAUUUCAUAGAACAAUAUGAAAGACAUGAAUCUUCAUGAAACUCCUCUCCUAAUGCAGCAGAGACUCCACAGUGUUUGCAGGCUUUGCUUUUCAUCAGAAGAGGUCCCGGGGGAGGUUCAAGGUAGGAUCCUUGCCAUCCUGGCUCAGCAAUCACAGAAAGCCAAAUAAAUAAGGCAGGAAGUUGGCAAAGCCCUGAUUCAGCAAAGGCAGAAGCACAAAUUCAGCAUUAACCUCUCUUAAGAUGAUUUGGAACAUAAGAGUUAAUCUUAUCGCUGCCCAAAAGUCAGACCAAGAAUCCAGGACCUUGACAGUGGGCACAUCAGUGCUUUAAAUCCAAGGGGAGAGGGUGCUUAAAGCUGAGGAAUUGCUUAAAUAUGGGAAAAGCAUGCUCCCUGGUAGGAGGUAAUAACUCAAAGACUGGGGUUUGGUCCAUGGUCUGGUGUGGUUUUGGCCAAGGCACUGAUGCCCUGAGGGAGGAUGAGGGCGGCAGCACGGGCGGGUGGACAAGUCUGGAGGAGGCUGCUGUGGGGGCCCAGUGGCUCCUCCUCACUCCCAUCCCCUCACCAGGGAAGACUGGAGAUCUCUGGGCAGCACGGAAAAGGUCUGGAGCCUGCGGGGGGGGUGUCAGGGCCUCAGUUCAGUGAUGGGCUGCAGUGCUCCCCCUGCCCAGCCAGCACAGCCCUCACCCACCCCAGCGUGGUCACGCUGGUGAGGCCUCUUGGAUGUGAGAGGGUCCGUGUAUGAUCAGGGUGAGGGUCAGCGGGGAUCAAAAUCCCCUCCCGGGUGAGGGGUGCAGUGUGUGCCCGUGUGGGUGCACCCGGCUGGAGCAGAGGGAGGGAGCACAGGAUGGCUCUUGGAGAGGUGUGUUUGCAGUUUGAGUGGUGUGACAUCCCCCAGGAGGAGGCCUGAGGCUCUCCCAGCCCGGGGCGGCCGGAGCAGGCGGGACACGGCUCCCACAGCAGGCAGGGCCCGGCUUCCUCUCCCCUGAGCUCCUCAUGCGUAUCUGAUCUGCACCUCCGUGGUGAUGUGGGUAGAAUUGAAUUAUGGGGCUUUAACGUAGUUACAGCUACAUUUCCCAGGCACAUUUCUUCCUGACGUACAAUGCUGGAAUUCAGGAUCUGGCCAUAGGCUGUGGAUGACUUCUUGUCUCCCAGGCUUGCUGCAGCCUUGCCACGUGCUGUGCCAGGCCCUGGCUGGAAAGGCAAACUUGGGAGCUCAGUUCACAUCUGCUGCUGGAAAAGCAGUGAAUUAUGUGGAAAGCCAGUGAAUUACAUUAAGGGUGACUCCAGGGUGAGGGAACCAGGGAGCUUUGGUGACAGCCCUGUGUGUGCACUGCACGAUGCUGUAGCAGGGAGAAGAGUGGCUGGAGAACAGCCCCUUGCACAGAGAGGGUCCUACAGUUGGGCCUGGGUUUAUCCUUGUUUUCCAGCUGCAGGAAAAUACCUUCAAAGGUGCACGGAUGAACAGUUGGUCUUUAGCCAAUAUGCAUGUUAAGGUGACUAUGAGAUUUUUAUGCCCAUUGAAGAUCUGUGCUGGCAUGGUCUAAAACUUCAUGUAAACUUUCUUGCUCGUCUCCUUUGAUGUGAACCUAAUGGUCAUGGAAUUUGCUGUAUCAGCAAUAAGAAUCAUUUGAUUAACCAGAGAAGCAAAUAAAGGAGUUAACUCUAAAGUCAGACAGGAAACAUCAGGAAAUGAUGGGUUUGCCAUUUCCAUUGUGCCAGAGGUGCAGGAAUGCCCAAACUUCAAAAUGUGAGGGUUCCCCAUCAUCUACAGAGAGGAAGCUUUGCCUAUCAACCUUUCAGGGUGUUUUCAUCAGUUCUGAUCUGCCUGUAGUUAGUUUAGAGCGAUGGUGUCCUCUGGGGAGUGACUUGUUUUUCCUACCCCUGAUUCAGCUCCAUACUUGUGAAUUUUAAGUGCAUGUGCACAUAUAAAUGAGUGCCUGUAUUUAUACAGAUCCUGCCAGUGCACGUUUUGCAAUAAUUCUCCUUGGAUGCUCUUGCUCUCUCCCACAGUCGAUUUUUUUGAAUGACAUGGAGCUGAUAAUAGAUGUGGUUUCAGUGUGAUCGGGCUGGCUUGUCUUAUUCCACCUCUCCUGGUUUUGAGCAAGAAUGUGAGGACUUGCUGUGUCUCUUUUAGAUUCCAUCAUGAAAGGAAUAAUUGAGAUUGAGCUUCUUAGUCACUCAAUGCGGAAGGUCAGGGAAUUAAUGCUGUGUUACACCAGGCCAUUCAUUUACUGGGCCUCCUUUACUGUCUGUAGAGGAAAACAAAUGUGCCUCAGAGAAGGUAACACAUCUUCAACACCACGCACAGCCCCAGCCUCUGAUAAUACACACUGUUUAUCUUUAUUUUGGGGGUGUUCCAGGAUAGUUUUAUCAUCAUAAUUGAUUAGUGGCAACGGAGAAAAAAAAUCCAGGAGUAACAGGAAGAAAUGAUUCCAGUGAAUCCAUUGACUCAGUGGUAGCAUUGAUCUACUUCUGGGAAUUAUUUAUAGGAGAAGAUUCAUAGUUAAUAAUAUUAGUUUGGACUUUGGGAGCAGUUUAUCAGUGGCUCUUAAAGGCCUUUGGUAAAAAUUAAUCAGGUAGAGAAAUAAGUUAGACAGCCUGGUUUUGGGAGAGGGAAGAAAAUGGGAUUCCUGGCAUAACUGUCUACCCCAGAGCGAGAGACAAUGCAAGGGGUAACUUGGGGUGCUUGGAUAUGUCCAAGCACAGGAGUGGGAGGACGGAUUUCCAGCUGCUCAAUCAGCCAGUGCAGCUGGGAAAAGGUCCUUGGAAAAGUCCCCACUAAACCCCUCGUUCAGAUGAAGCCAAGGUGUCCACAGGACAGUCACCUGAGCCAGAUCCAGCAGGGAGAACUGCCCGGGGACAGCACUAACCCUCCUCCUCCCCUGCCUCUCCUCCCCGGUUUGUUUUUGGUUUUAGCUUAAUUGAUCUGUAUCCUGCAAUCCUACCCGCAGGAGGAAUGACACAUCUGAAAAAAGCAGGAGGAUUUGUUUAAAGUGAGCUGCUUGGGUUUUUCAGUGUGUGUAUAUAUAGAAUUGCCUGGAAGUAGUAAAUAGAAUUAAACACUGUGGUUCUGAAAAACAAAAUUCUCAGGGCUGUCUGUUGAUUUCAAAGCUGAUGAAAACAAAGCAGGCUUUGAAAUCUUUUCUCGCAGAGCUUCCCCCUCCUCCCUUAUCAUAUGAAAGAUGGGCUUGAUAAUAUUUGGGUUUUAUUCUUCUUUUGAAACAGUUGAAAAAAAUGCUGUUUUCUCAGUUAAGAUGAAAAUCCUGAUGUUUUUAAUAAGGUCAGUGUAAUGUCUUCAUUAGCAAAUGCUAAAAUGAAAAUGCAGAUCUGGAACUUGACCAGGAAAAACUUCAGUGUCUACCCAAAAUAGAGAGUCACAUUUGCAACAGGUGUGAACCAGUGCUGCUUCCCUAAAAUUACUGGUUCUGGGAUAACCUAUUGCAGUUUAGGGACUGGCUGCUGUGUUUUUAAGUAACUCCCAAACUGGAGUGGUUUUUGUUUGUUUUCCUGGGACAGUGCCUGGCCCUGGGCUCUGUGAACGCCGGGGGUGGGCAGGGCUUGGUGUUGGGUUUGGUGGUUUCCUUUCAGAUGAUGGAGCAGCUGGAAACAAAGGGAGGGACUGGCGACCUGGGAAGAGGUGUAGAGCUCACCAUGAGGAAAUGCAGGUGGAUGUUAGUGGACAGACAGCCUAAAAUAAAACCAAAAAUAUCCGACCCACCAAGUCAGUGGUGGGUUGAAAUUUUGUUUACAAACGUCACAAUGAAGCUGUUGGGUGCUGAGCACUUUAAAGGCUGUCCUCCACUAUGAAUUCCAGACACACAUAGAAAGUCUUUGCCCAGCUUUCUGGAGAUGUGGAUGGUAUCUGGACAGCCCUGACCCUCCUGACUGGUCUGAAACCACGGACUCCAAAGACAUCUCUUUCCUCCUCUGUGCUGUAUCUUCUCCAAGACAGGGUUGCCACAGCCCAUCUCCCAGUGUCUCUGCACUGUGCUACACACACUGGGGUAACACCAAAGGCACAGAUGCAUCAGGAAGACCAAUUGUUUGCAAUGACAUAUUCUGCAUUUUAAAUGAUCUUUGAUUUCCUGGCAGCUCCCCAGUGUAUCACCCCCUGUAAUUCUGUCUAAAUAAUGUUUGUCAGGUGAAGCCACAGCUGGGCAGCAGACAGACCAGUCCACAGAGCACUGCUCCUCACCAGGGACUUCCAAAACCCACCGGCCGAUCAAUCUCCACAGCUCACUGAAUGAUAGAUGGAACAUAAUAUAGAUCAUUAUUUCUUCCCUAUGUGUGAAAAUGAAUUAUUCAGUAAAGAUUUAGAUCCUUUUUUAUUAUGACAUUGAAUUUAUAGAGCAUACAAAACAUAAAUGCAGAUUUCUCCAGCAGCAGAGAGAUGAACUUGUUCUCCAGGCAGUGCAAGGUGGAUGUAGCCCCUUGGCAUCGCUGCACGGCAGAGAUGGGAUGUCCAAACAGCCAGAGCACUGGGCUGCAGCCUGGGCAAUUAGGACCUGCUCUGAGCUCAGCUGCCAGCCUGCUUACCUGCCAUAGCAUUCCCAAACCCCCCUAGCUGGUUUAGGAGCCCAAGAUCUCUUCUCUGUUUCAGAAAUCAGGCUCUCAGGAGCCAUGUGUCUUCAGGGAGAUUUGGGAUCUCACGUCACCUUGACCUUAAAAAUGCUGAUCUCAACAAACUCUGCAUCUCAGUGUCUGAUCUGAAACAAGAGUUGUGAAAAUUGAAAGGCAAUUGGUGAGACUGAAACCUGCUAAUGAGAGGCGGUGCUAUGUGAGUACAUGGACAGACGUGGUCUGUCUGCAGAGCCACUGUGCAGAAUUUGGGCUGGUUUGUACCAAUAGCAGUAACUUUCCUUGUUAUUGGAAUAAAUGCUCCAACUUUUAAUUGUGCAGCCUGGGAGAACAUUACCCCUGACCAGCAGUUACAGAUGUCAGCUUCGCAGUUCAUUAGCUGCUUCCCAAAGUCCACUGGGAGUUUGGAUUUUUAGCACGAACAUUAGAGGUCGGAGAGAAGGAGAGCAGAGGGCAAGCCUGCAAACUCUCCUUGGGGUGGAGAAAAGUCUGGGAUCAGGGCUGGGACAGCACCUUUGGGGAUGGGUGCUGUGACGUGCCAGCCACGGAGCAGGACAGCGGGUCCUGGUUUGUCACCCGUGGGCACGGAUGCUGAAUGUGCCCCUGGAGCAUCCCUGGUGCCGUGGGUGCAGCUUUUGCUCCCUGAGAGCAGUGGGUGCAGAGAAACAGCAAAACUGGGCACCUGCCUGGACCCAGCCUUGGCUCUGGGAGAGGCCAGAAAGAGAACGUACCGAUAAAGUCUUCCCAAAGCCAUUUGAGCUGUAAUGUUCGCUGAUUGAAGGGAUAACAGCGGAGAUUUCCUUUUAAUGUAUAGAAAUCCUAAUUUCUUUGUGAGCCAUAAGCAGCUGCACUGAAGUUCCCUCUGUCCAUCAGCAAUAUCUGUCUUGUGCCUGUUCAUUCUGGAACCCCUUUAAAAUUCUGCACUGCAGCCAGAGAGAUUAAAGGGCAGGAACUGCACUCCUGACUAGUAAUUUCCCAGUGAUUAUUACGAGAAAUAGCUAAAAUCUAAAGGAAGCUCAGAGGGGUGAGAAAAAGACUGCUCUUUAAUCCCCCCCCUCCAUUUCCUUUGCAGGUUGGUGCCGCUCACCCUGCUGGGGCAGGGCCAGGUCAGCCCCUCUCCUGGCUGGAGCAGUUGGGGUGUUCCCUGCCCGCUUGGAGGAGCGGAGCCUGCCCUGCUGCUGAACCAGAGUUCAGCACUUCAUGGCAAAGCAAACCCAGUAAAGGGGAUUAUGUCCCAUUUUACAGGGGUCGGCAGCAGAGCAUGAAGGGGAGCAUUUCUCCAUUGGGCCUGACCUCCUAGCCCUGCACACAUCUGCUCGUUCCCACCUCGUUCAUUAGUCCCUGCUGGAAAGAGCAUGCACAUGCUGCCCCCACCCCCAAUAAAAAUAUAAUCCCUGA